AUUGAACGCUGGCGGCAUGCUUUACACAUGCAAGUCGAACGGUAACAGGUUAAGCUGACGAGUGGCGAACGGGUGAGUAAUGCAUCGGAACGUGCCCGGUCGUGGGGGAUAACGCAGCGAAAGCUGCGCUAAUACCGCAUACGAUCUAAGGAUGAAAGCGGGGGACCGUAAGGCCUCGCGCGAUCGGAGCGGCCGAUGUCAGAUUAGGUAGUUGGUGGGGUAAAGGCUCACCAAGCCAACGAUCUGUAGCUGGUCUGAGAGGACGACCAGCCACACUGGGACUGAGACACGGCCCAGACUCCUACGGGAGGCAGCAGUGGGGAAUUUUGGACAAUGGGCGCAAGCCUGAUCCAGCAAUGCCGCGUGCAGGAAGAAGGCCUUCGGGUUGUAAAGCUCUUUCGCAAGGGAAGAAAACUUAAGCUCUAACAUAGCUUGAGGUUGACGGUACCUUGAUAAGAAGCACCGGCUAACUACGUGCCAGCAGCCGCCGUAA
rnacentral:rRNA from 1 species